CAAAGGUUCCCUCAGAAUGGUUGGAAAUCAUUCAUAGAGUGUAAAGGCAUAAGGGAGCUUGACUGCGAGACCUACAAGUCGAGCAGGGUCGAAAGACGGACUUAGUGAUCCGGUGGUUCCGCAUGGAAGGGCCAUCGCUCAACGGAUAAAAGCUACCCCGGGGAUAACAGGCUUAUCUCCCCCAAGAGUUCACAUCGACGGGGAGGUUUGGCACCUCGAUGUCGGCUCAUCGCAUCCUGGGGCUGUAGUCGGUCCCAAGGGUUGGGCUGUUCGCCCAUUAAAGCGGUACGCGAGCUGGGUUCAGAACGUCGUGAGACAGUUCGGUCCCUAUCCGUCGUGGGCGUAGGAAAUUUGAGAGGAGCUGUCCUUAGUACGAGAGGACCGGGAUGGACAUACCUCUGGUGUACCAGUUGUCGUGCCAACGGCAUAGCUGGGUAGCUAUGUAUGGACGGGAUAAGUGCUGAAAGCAUCUAAGCAUGAAGCCCCCCUCAAGAUGAGAUUUCCCAACUUCGGUUAUAAGAUCCCUCAAAGAUGAUGAGGUUAAUAGGUUCGAGGUGGAAGCGUGGUGACACGUGGAGCUGACGAAUACUAAUCGAUCGAAGACUUAAUCAA
rnacentral:rRNA from 1 species